rnacentral:rRNA from 1 species
CCCCUAGACGUUCUGGGCUGCACGCGCGCUACAAUAAUACGCACAGCGAGUAUCACCGAGCUCGAAAGGGCAAGGUAAACAAUAGAAAAGGUACUGUAAUGGUUAUAGAUCCUUGUAAUUAUUGAUCUUCAACGAGGAAUUCCUAGUAAGUAUGUGUCAUCAUCACGCACUGAUUACGUCCCUGCCCUUUGUACACACCGCCCGUCGCUCCUACCGAUGAAUCGUCCGGUGAAGUUCACAGAGUGGCGGUUCGUGGAGUUGCUCGCGAAGUGAAAUGGACCUCACGAUUUAGAGGAAGGAGAAGUCGUAACA